GACGAACGCUGGCGGCGUGCUUAACACAUGCAAGUCGAGCGAGACUCCUCCUUCGGGGGGAGUGCUCUAGCGGCGAACGGGUGAGUAACACGUGGGCAACCUGCCCCUACGCUCUGGGAUAAGCCCGAGAAAUCGGGUCUAAUACUGGAUAUUCACUUCACAGGGCAUCUUGUGUUGUGGAAAGGUUUUCUGGCUGGGGAGUGGGCCCGCGGCCUAUCAGCUUGUUGGUGGGGGGAUGGCCUACCAAGGCGACGACGGGUAGCCGGCCUGAGAGGGCGACCGGCCACACUGGGACUGAGACACGGCCAGACUCCUACGGGAGGCAGCAGUGGGGAAUAUUGCACAAUGGGCGGAAGCCUGAUGCAGCGACGCCGCGUGAGGGAUGACGGCC
rnacentral:rRNA from 1 species